rnacentral:piRNA from 1 species
UGGUCAAUGCAAAGCGACGGUGCAAG